UACAGAGGGUGCGAGCGUUAAUCGGAAUUACUGGGCGUAAAGCGUGCGUAGACGGUUAUGUAAGUCGGAUGUGAAAGCCCCGGGCUCAACCUGGGAAUUGCAUUCGAGACUGCAUAGCUAGGAUGCGGAAGAGGGCAGUGGAAUUUCCGGUGUAGCGGUGAAAUGCGUAGAUAUCGGAAGGAACAUCAGUGGCGAAAGCGACUGCCUGGUCCAGCAUCGACGUUCAGGCACGAAAGCGUGGGGAGCAAACAGG
rnacentral:rRNA from 1 species